rnacentral:rRNA from 1 species
AAGAUUUUAAAAGUCGAACAGACUUAAAUAUUAAACGUGUGCAAUCUAAUUUUUAUCUUAAUUCAACAUCGAGGUCGCAAACACUUUUUUCAAUAUGAUCUUUAAAAAAGUAUUACG